rnacentral:lncRNA from 1 species
CUUUACAAGCCUACGGGGCACAAUCUGAGAGGUAUGCUAGGCUUUUAGGUCCCGUAGAGGGAGAGUAGGCCUACUGGGCUAAUAAUGGUCUACCAAGAAAUGCAAUGUUAUUAAUCAACCCUUUCGGUAACUCCAAUUGUAUACGACCAGGUAAGCCAUGAUGAGGUGGUGGAGCGAGGCUCACUUAAGUACACAUCCUCAAAAGUACUUGCCUAGACAUCGCAUCCAACUGGGUGAGCCUAGUUUGAGAAGAGUUAUAAUCAUUGUCAUAGACUCAAGGCGACACAUGACGAGCUUAUGUUCUAGCCUUGGAGCUUAAGUCGAGCUUCUGGCUCAAUUUCAUAUAUAUUCAUGUUUGAUUUAAGUUUCUGACUUAACAUCAUUAAUAUUCACCAAUAUAACAUAAACCAAUGGAAUAUAUGUUAUUAAAUCGUAACAUACAAACUUAAUGUGAAAGUAAUUAUAUGAAACCAAAAUAAAUUAAAUUAUAACGGAAACAAUUUAAUUCUCAUCGACAUAAUGUAUAUGCAAUAAAAUUACUAAACCAAUAAAUGUCAAUAACGUAGCGGUUACUUGCAAAACUAACUCAUUUGCAUCUCCAAUUGCUUCUGGCAUUAAUGUGUCAUUACAUACUCAUAAUAAUUAUUGAUAUAAACGAUAACAUAAUUGAG